UUUUAGUAUGGCGACCGGCGCACGGGUGAGUAACACGUAUCCAACCCGCCGAUGACUCGGGGAUAGCCUUUCGAAAGAAAGAUUAAUACCCGAUGGCAUAGUUCUUCCGCAUGGUAGAACUAUUAAAGAAUUUCGGUCAUCGAUGGGGAUGCGUUCCAUUAGGUUGUUGGCGGGGUAACGGCCCACCAAGCCUUCGAUGGAUAGGGGUUCUGAGAGGAAGGUCCCCCACAUUGGAACUGAGACACGGUCCAA
rnacentral:rRNA from 1 species